UACGAAGGGUGCAAACGUUGCUCGGAAUUAUUGGGCGUAAAGCGCACGUAGGCGGCUAUCUAAGUCGGAUGUGAAAUCCCUCGGCUUAACCAAGGAAGUGCACCCGAAACUGGAUAGCUUGAGUACAGAAGAGGAUCGCGGAAUUCCCGGUGUAGAGGUGAAAUUCGUAGAUAUCGGGAGGAACACCAGUGGCGAAGGCGGCGAUCUGGGCUGAUACUGACGCUGAGGCGCGACAGCGUGGGGAGCAAACAGG
rnacentral:rRNA from 1 species